CAGCUAAAUACUAAUUCAGUAAGAAUUGUCUUGGUAUGGAAAUAUCUCUUUCUGUUGUAUAUGCAUUGUUGAAUUGCCAUGUCAUUUUCUUGAGUAUUACCAGAAUAUUAAGUAUAGUUGAGCCAGCUUCCUAAUAUUAUGGAAUCUAGGAUAGUUGUUGACUUUGUGGUUUUCUUAAUAAUCUCAUUAAUAUUAUCAACAUUCCUAUAUGUGAAGACCAACUUCCAUCCCCAUUAAGUUGUACAUAUACAGUUGCAGUCUUCUUGACAGUCCUUGUUUUAUCCGUAUUGAUGUUUGAGAAGCAUGAAUAUCU